CUGGCUCAGAACGAACGCUGGCGGCAGGCCUAACACAUGCAAGUCGAGCGAGGACUUCGGUCCUAGCGGCGGACGGGUG
rnacentral:rRNA from 1 species